AUUGAACGCUGGCGGCAUGCCUUACACAUGCAAGUCGAACGGUAACAGAUCUUCGGAUGCUGACGAGUGGCGAACGGGUGAGUAAUACAUCGGAACGUGCCUAGUAGUGGGGGAUAACUACUCGAAAGAGUGGCUAAUACCGCAUGAGAUCUACGGAUGAAAGCAGGGGAUCGCAAGACCUUGUGCUACUAGAGCGGCCGAUGGCAGAUUAGGUAGUUGGUGGGAUAAAAGCUUACCAAGCCGACGAUCUGUAGCUGGUCUGAGAGGACGAUCAGCAACACUGGGACUGAGACACGGCCCAGACUCCUACGGGAGGCAGCAGUGGGGAAUUUUGGACAAUGGGCGCAAGCCUGAUCCAGCAAUGCCGCGUGCAGGAUGAAGGCCUUCGGGUUGUAAACUGCUUUUGUACGGAACGAAAAGCCCUGGGUUAAUACCCUGGGGUCAUGACGGUACCGUAAGAAUAAGCACCGGCUAACUACGUGCCAGCAGCCGCCGCAGUAA
rnacentral:rRNA from 1 species